rnacentral:rRNA from 1 species
UGCCAGCAGCCGCGGUAAUACGGAGGGGGCAAGCGUUGUUCGGAAUUACUGGGCGUAAAGGGUGCGCAGGCGGCGUCGCCAGUCAGGUGUGAAAUCCCCGGGCUCAACCCGGGAACUGCACUUGAUACUGCGAUGCUAGAGUUCGGAAGAGGAUGGCGGAAUUCCCAGUGUAGAGGUGAAAUUCGUAGAUAUUGGGAAGAACACCGGUGGCGAAGGCGGCCAUCUGGACCGGUACUGACGCUGAGGUACGAAAGCGUGGGGAGCAAACAGGAUUAGAUA